UACGUAGGGUGCAAGCGUUAAUCGGAAUUACUGGGCGUAAAGCGUGCGCAGGCGGUUGUGCAAGACCGAUGUGAAAUCCCCGGGCUUAACCUGGGAAUGGCAUUGGUGACUGCACGGCUAGAGUGUGUCAGAGGGGGGUAGAAUUCCACGUGUAGCAGUGAAAUGCGUAGAGAUGUGGAGGAAUACCGAUGGCGAAGGCAGCCCCCUGGGAUAACACUGACGCUCAUCCACGAAAGCGUGGGGAGCAAACAGG
rnacentral:rRNA from 1 species